rnacentral:rRNA from 1 species
GACGAACGCUGGCGGCGUGCUUAACACAUGCAAGUCGAACGGAAAGGCCCUGCUUUUGUGGGGUGCUCGAGUGGCGAACGGGUGAGUAACACGUGAGUAACCUGCCCUUGACUUUGGGAUAACUUCAGGAAACUGGGGCUAAUACCGGAUAGGAGCUCCUGCUGCAUGGUGGGGGUUGGAAAGUUUCGGCGGUUGGGGAUGGACUCGCGGCUUAUCAGCUUGUUGGUGGGGUAGUGGCUUACCAAGGCUUUGACGGGUAGCCGGCCUGGGAGGGUGACCGGCCACAUUGGGACUGGGGUACGGCCCAGACUCCUACGGGCGGCAGCAGUGGGGAAUAUUGCACAAUGGGCGGAAGCCUGAUGCAGCAACGCCGCGUGCGGGAUGACGGCCUUCGGGUUGUAAACCGCUUUCGCCUGUGACGAAGCGUGAGUGACGGUAAUGGGUAAAGAAGCACCGGCUAACUACGUG